rnacentral:rRNA from 1 species
GAUGAACGCUGGCGGCGUGCCUAAUACAUGCAGGUCGAGCGAACAGACGAGGAGCUUGCUCCUCUGACGUUAGCGGCGGACGGGUGAGUAACACGUGGAUAACCUACCUAUAAGACUGGGAUAACUUCGGGAAACCGGAGCUAAUACCGGAUAAUAUAUUGAACCGCAUGGUUCAAUAGUGAAAGACGGUUUUGCUGUCACUUAUAGAUGGAUCCGCGCCGCAUUAGCUAGUUGGUAAGGUAACGGCUUACCAAGGCGACGAUGCGUAGCCGACCUGAGAGGGUGAUCGGCCACACUGGAACUGAGACACGGUCCAGACUCCUACGGGAGGCAGCAGUAGGGAAUCUUCCGCAAUGGGCGAAAGCCUGACGGGGCAACGCCGCGUGAGUGAUGAAGGUCUUCGGAUCGUAAAACUCUGUUAUUAGGGAAGAACAAAUGUGUAAGUAACUAUGCACGUCUUGACGGUACCUAAUCAGAAAGCCACGGCUAACUACGUG